GACUGGGAGAUCGAGUUAGGCUACUGAGAAUUAGGGCUUCCUUUAAAAAGUUAGAAUUUUGCUUUUGCAAACAGGGCAAAAGAUUAGCGCGUCGGGUCGGGUUAGAACCGGGAGAAACAGCCAAAUCUAAGGGAUCGGACGCUCGCCCGAGUCAUGGAUGGAGUUGGGGCCCCGCUCGGGCGGUCAUCGACCCGUUACAGACCGGCUUCUGUGUUUACAGGGACGGUGAGAAGGUGGAAAAAGAAAUUUUUUAUUUAAAUACAUUCUUGGCCUUUCGUUAUUUACCUUUGUUGGAAUUUUAUUUCGUUAUUAAUUUAUUUUUAAAUAUAGGGUAUUUUUUGUU